GGCUGGUCUGAGUGCAGUGUUUAAAACUAUUGAUUACAUAUUUCUUUGUUCCUUCUCCACCCCCACUGCUUCACUUGACUAGUCUUAA
ensembl:Y_RNA Y_RNA Y RNA